CAUAAGGGGAGUCAGAAGAAUGGCACAGUGGUGGUGGUGUGGUGGAGAACCAGGAGUUGGUGACACUUACCAGAAUGGGUCCUGAGGUGUCCUGUGAGGGCGUCCCUUCUUCUACAGGCGUAGCUACAGAAAGGACAUUUGAACGGCUUCUCUCCAGAGUGUAACUUUAUGUGUCUCAGAAGGUUGCCCUUCUGAGUAAAAGAAGCUCCACACUGGUUACAGUGGAAGGGGCGUUCACCUGCAGUAAAGAGAAGAAAUGGCAAGUAUCAACUAGGGUGGAGACAAGAAGAGAUCACAAUCCCACUGCAAGUGUCUGUCUGUG
rnacentral:lncRNA from 1 species